AAUGACUGCAUUCCGAUAUUUACUACCAAUACUGAAAAUCUAUAGUGUACGUUGGGGACAGAAAGGUUGUCCGGUUGAGUUUCGGAAUGCAUCCCAUUCAGAAGUGGAUAAGCACUAAUGAGCACACAGCUUGCGCAAUAAUUCAUUAUAAGAGCAGACAAAUAAGAUGUCAAAUAUAUUGAAAUGUUACAAAAAUUGGUAAUUGCUGAUGACAUAGUAACUAGAUAUUAAAUAUAUAGAAUGCGGGACUAACUGGACAAUUUUUCUGUUUCCACCUGUACACUACAGAUUUUCAGUACUAGUAGUAAAUAUCGAAAAUGCAGUCAUUAUCAACUGUGACAUUUAUCAACCAAAAACACGACGUGACUAAUUUAGAUAUAACUAAAACUGCGUUCUGAAAAUGUGCGUAUAGUGUACGUGAUUUAUUCGAGUAAACAAAUUUUCAGUACUGGCAGUAAGUACCGGACGCAGUUAUAGCCUUUUGGUCGCUGAUCGAACAGUCAUCAUUAUUUCGCAGAAUGGUGCAGCAAGAGGCGGUGGUAGUAAGGAAUGCCGUGAAGCGUUAUGGAAAAGGACAGCCGGUGCUCGACGGUUUGAAUAUGACGGUUUCACGGGGUAUCGUGUAAGUAACCAUUAUUUAUCAUGUCAAUGCAAAAGAUUAAUGGCGUUUUCGAUUUACUACUCGACCCGACUCGGGUCGCAUCAAUGGACGUGGAAUACAUAAAUAGAUAUGUAUGUAUUCCACGUCAAUGAUUCUAGAGUCCUGUAUACAUGAUGCGACCCGAGUCGGUUUGAGUCGCAAAUCGAAAACGCUAUAAUCGUCUUCGCUAUCAAUUUCCGCUUUGAAUGAAAUUGUAAACGAACAAUCCGAGUUUUUCAAAAAAAGUCAUCGAGAAGAUACUCCCUAGGGAGAGAAAACAAUGCAACAAAGAUUGCAUUAAUGAUUAAUAUGUACUCGUGAUUACUUGCGCGAUUUUUAAUGUCAUUCAGCAAACCUAUAUACAGCAUAUCUUUUGCGGUAACAUGAUACUAAUUUCUUCAUCUUUCGAUAUAUGUUGGAAAUUGCCUCAAACUGUCGUCACGCACUUUUCCGCGUACAUUUACCGAUUGCUUAAAUUGCCGUUGCUUGCAAAAUGCAUGAAAAGAUAAUUGUAUAAUUUUUUAACGAAUAUUCAGUCAAGAAAAUCUUUCAGGACUUAUCAGAAUCAUUAGAAUAUUAUUUAAAACUUGUGUCUAAUUUUUAAGGUAAUUUUAUUUAUACAUUCUAUGGUAACGCUUCUCUAACCGCUAGCCAAAUACUUGUUAAUAAUUCGUUAGGAUUAGGGCUUAUGUGAGAAAAUAAAAAUGUGUUAGGCAUAUACUUAGCGUUGUGUAACAUUAGACACAAACGCGCGCAUCAUACGCACAAAUUUCAAGGCGCAAUAGAAAAUUAAUAGACGGAUUUAUGAUUCUCGAUAAUUUCCGAGCCGAAAUAAGAUUCUUAUUUCAAUGCAUGAAUAAUCUGUAAAACUCGAUAUGUUCAAUAACAAUUUAUAAGACUAUGUAUAACUAUUAGUGAUCUUAGUCAUCUAACGACUACACGUGUCGACUUGUCAAAAAAUAUAUGUUUUGUAGUAAAUAAAUCUUGAAAUUUUUA